ensembl:snRNA U6 U6 spliceosomal RNA
GUGCUCGCUUUGACAGCAUGUGUACUAAAAUUGGAAUGAUACAGAGAACAUUAACAUGGCCCCUGCUCAAGGAUGACAUGCAAAUUUGUGAAAAUUAAAUUCGAAAA